UUCUUCUUUCCUGGGGAAGACUAUAUCCUCAUCGUUCUUUUGCCGAUCAACUCGAAUCAUAUCGGGGUCCGGCUACCGCUUCAGUGAAACGUGCAUUGACGAAUUACCAUGCCAUUGUCCAAAAUUAAAUAUUCUUCCGUCAAAGCCAUUGACAAUUUCAGGCCAGGAGCUUCACUCAUGAAGAUCAUUGGUUACGUAGAUUGUAUAGAAGGACUAAAAGAAUUGCCAAAAUCUCCCUCGAAACGGAUAUAUAAAUGCGUACUGAAGAUCAAUGAUGGCAGGAGGGUUCGCAUCCUAUUUUGGGGAGAUGACGCCUUGAAAUAUAAUGACGAGAUCAAAAUGUAUUAGAUUUUAAAAAUUACGGGAGGUACGAUUAAAGAGAGCAAUGCAAUUUAUCGAAGAUCGGCGGAUACAGUCGGUCACAACGAGUUCCAGUUUGGACGUGGAAGUGCCAUUACGGGCAUAUAGUUGGCAGUGAAAUAAUUUAUUGUUUAAUAAAUCUUAUCUAAAUCGCUUGGGAAUUAUUUGGGAUGA